rnacentral:rRNA from 1 species
GANACGCUGGCGGCGUGCUUAACACAUGCAAGUCGAACGAGAGGACAAGAGAAGCUUGCUUCUUUUGGAAUCGAGUGGCAAACGGGUGAGUAACACGUAAACAACCUGCCUUCAGGAUGGGGGACAACAGACGGAAACGACUGCUAAUACCGAAUACGCUUGGGAGACCGCAUGAUCUACCAAGGAAAGGGUGGCCUCUACCUGUAAGCUAUCGCCUGAAGAGGGGUUUGCGUCUGAUUAGGUAGUUGGUGGGGUAACGGCCCACCAAGCCGACGAUCAGUAGCCGACCUGAGAGGGUGACCGGCCACAUUGGGACUGAGACACGGCCCAAACUCCUACGGGAGGCAGCAGUGGGGAAUAUUGCACAAUGGGCGAAAGCCUGAUGCAGCGACGCCGCGUGAGUGAAGAAGUAUCUCGGUAUGUAAAGCUCUAUCAGCAGGGAAGAAAAUGACGGUACCUGACUAAGAAGCCCCGGCUAACUACGUG